AGGGACAGCGUCCUUCUGGGAGUCUUGAGGAGGAGGGAGCUGAAGACAAUUCUUUGCGAUGUGACCCAGUUCCUUACAGUGAGAGCACGUUGGGGGAAGCGAUGGGUCUAGGGGGAUAUCAAUCAUAUGAAUCCAGAUGGGGAUGGAGGCGAGUGUAGGCUUCUCAGAAGAGUAGUAAGGAGUCCAUGGAGAGAACACUCUGGAUCUGAUGAUAAGAAGGGGGUCUACCAUUGAAGAAGCAGAUGAUGAAAUCCUUGUGCAACGCAUCACCUCUCGCAAACACCUCAUCAGGUAUGUGAAUACGAGGUUGACCAGAGUCCGCAAUGGAGACCGGAGCGAGUCUUUUCAGAGAUCUGCUAGUAUAUUGCUUCAGUCUUUCAGCCGGACUGUCUUUUCCACCUACUGCAGUAGUUGUUGUAGUCCUGCUAGGAACAUAUGCUCCACGUGACACAGUAGUAGUUGGGGUAGGGUUAGGAGUCAAGGAAUAUGGAGGGAGAGGUUGAUGGUCAACAUGGUUGUUAGUUUGGGUGGGAGAAGGGUUAGAUCUCGCUGGGUUGGAGGUAGAAGCUUUAUUUGUGAUGAUGGGGGAAGUUGAUUUAGAGGGUAGGACAGUGUAGUUUUCAGAUCCGGUGAUGUUUGCCGGAACAGUAGUUGCAGAUCUAGGAUUUUGACUAAGAUCUGAUAUAGGGAGAUCUACCUAAUGCAUCUCAACAUCCGUAGUAGUGAGGGCGAUUCAGUGACGCACACAACACUCCUAUCACCAGGCCCAGCAGUUUGAGCAGUUUGAGACAAGAGUUUUGGAAUGGGUGAAACAGAGGGGGAUAGGGGAGGGAAAUGUGACAGGGACCUAGAGGAGGAAGGGUCAGGAGGAUCUGGAGGGAUUGAAGGGGGGUUGAGGUUACCACCAGCGGCGGGAAGUAGCGGAUUCAGGGCGGAAGCACGGCCAUUGGAGAACCAGCGAUUCUGCAUCGGAAACCGAACCAGAUAGAAAAGUCAACGAGAAGUCACAACUGUGGUUCUUUGAAUCUUCCAAGUUUUUUGCUGGUUAAUAGGUUUUGUUAUUUACAUUUGUAAAACAAAAUAA